rnacentral:rRNA from 1 species
GACGAACGCUGGCGGCGUGCCUAAUACAUGCAAGUUGAGCGCCGAAGGUUGGUACUUGUACCAACUGGAUGAGCAGCGAACGGGUGAGUAACGCGUGGGGAAUCUGCCUUUGAGCAGGGGACAACAUUUGGAAACGAAUGCUAAUACCGCAUAAAAACUUUAAACACAAGUUUUAAGUUUGAAAGAUGCAAUUGCAUCACUCAAAGAUGAUCCCGCGUUGUAUUAGCUAGUUGGUGAGGUAAAGGCUCACCAAGGCGAUGAUACAUAGCCGACCUGAGAGGGUGAUCGGCCACAUUGGGACUGAGACACGGCCCAAACUCCUACGGGAGGCAGCAGUAGGGGAUCUUCGGCAAUGGACGAAAGUCUGACCGAGCAACGCCGCGUGAGGGAAGAAGGUUUUCGGAUCGUAAAACUCUGUUGGUAGAGAAGAACGUUGGUGAGAGUGGAAAGCUCACCAAGUGACGGUAACUACCCAGAAAGGGACGGCUAACUACGUG